GGGUUGUGAGGUUAAGCGACUAAGCGUACACGGUGGAUGCCCUGGCAGUCAGAGGCGAUGAAGGGCGUGCUAAUCUGCGAUAAGCGCCGGUAAGGUGAUAUGAACCGUUAUAACCGGCGAUACCCGAAUGGGGAAACCCAGUGUGACUCGUCACACUAUCAUUAACUGAAUCCAUAGGUUAAUGAGGCGAACCGGGGGAACUGAAACAUCUAAGUACCCCGAGGAAAAGAAAUCAACCGAGAUUCCCCCAGUAGCGGCGAGCGAACGGGGAGGAGCCCAGAGCCUGAAUCAGCAUGUGUGUUAGUGGAAGCGUCUGGAAAGGCGCGCGAUACAGGGUGACAGCCCCGUACACAAAAGCGCACAUGCUGUGAGCUCGAUGAG
rnacentral:rRNA from 1 species